rnacentral:rRNA from 1 species
GACGAACGCUGGCGGCGUGCUUAACACAUGCAAGUCGAGCGGUAAGGCCCUUUCGGGGGUACACGAGCGGCGAACGGGUGAGUAACACGUGGGUGACCUGCCCUCAGCUCUGAGAUAAGCCUGGGAAACUGGGUCUAAUACUGGAUAUGACUCCACGGUGCAUGUCGUGGGGUGGAAAGCCUUGUGCGGCUGAGGAUGGGCCCGCGGCCUAUCAGCUUGUUGGUGGGGUGAUGGCCUACCAAGGCGACGACGGGUAGCCGGCCUGAGAGGGCGACCGGCCACACUGGGACUGAGACACGGCCCAGACUCCUACGGGAGGCAGCAGUGGGGAAUCUUGCGCAAUGGGCGAAAGCCUGACGCAGCGACGCCGCGUGAGGGAUGACGGCCUC